rnacentral:lncRNA from 1 species
GGGGCCAGAAUAGAAGUCUGUGGAAGGUGUGGGAUGGGAUGACAGCAUCAGAAAGAAUUGGGCAAAUCUGUCCCAGGACUAGGUCAGAAAAACGCCUCCCUAGGGAAGGUGCCACCCCAAACACGUGUUUCUGAGACCCCUUACCCGAAAUAAGGAGGCUGCCAAGCGAUACUUGAGGUUGGACCAGAUGAUGUUUUCUUGAGAGAAGCAGAAAACGCCAAGUCGGCCUCCACGCAUUGUGGUGUCUAUGGUGACGCCAGAGUCAGCCACCAACUCAGAGCCUUCAUAAAAUCGUACCCUGCGGACAACACGGCCGGAGGGGCCUCCAUGAAAUCCAACCCGGGGUUCCCCAUCCUGCGGUCACAAAAGUCCUGGCAUGUCCUUGGGGACUAUCCUAGGUCAGAAUUGCUCAGGGAAAUGAAGGCUCUGGGAUGCAGAACGGAGAAUGCUUUGCUUCUAGAGCAAGGAAAAAUACUUGUAUUGAGCAUCAUGAAGUUCGUGUUACUAACCUCACAGGCAAUCGACAGCCUGGGAGAUAGUCCCUAGGGCUUCAGAUCUUGUGUGGUGUUCAUCCCACCAUCUUCAGGCCCACAGUGUGUCAUUUUUCCACCUCUGCUUUGUUAGGUGCUGGAGAGAUCAGGCGCAUGGUGAGUCACUUCUGCCUGGGCCAGUGUCACACAGAGACUACCCUUUUCUGCAGUUAUCCAGAGGUAGCUUCAAAGGACGGAUUCUGGGAGACUUAAAAAUGAACAGCUCUCAGAGUUUUGUGUUUGAUGAUGUCACAUUGGUAGCUUGAAAUCAGCAAUGAGGACAAUGCGGAGUUACAUCAUGGAAACUGGAAAAUGCUACCAACUAGGGCUUUCUGUGAUUUGCUUACCAGCAUAUACCACUGGAAAUGGGUCAUCAGUUAGGCUUGCAGAAGCCUCCCCUCCCCAGACCAGCUCCGUGGCUGGAGAAUGCACAGGAAGCGUGACCAUUCAUGGAGCUGUCCCUGAUUGGAGUGGAGGUAGACAUACAGCAUGGCGCCGUCUGGCCCUGCCAGUCACCUGCCAAAGACGGAAGGUUUCUCCCGGAGGGACUAUGACAGUCCCCACCUCUACACGAUGGCCCACCCCCAACAGGAGCGUCAAGGCAGACAGACUCUGGAAGUUGUAAGGAUGAGGACAGUUAGAGAUGACAGCAGGUACUCAUUGCUGGCAGGAAUCAGGCAUCAGAUCCAUGCCUUCUUCUUUGCUUACAUGUAAGAUCAUGUGAAUGUUGAUGAAAACACCAUCAGACUGGAGGCUGCGUCCGGCCACUCAGACAAAGAAGGAAUAGAAGUGAAGGAAGAAGGCUGGACUGUGAACCAAUGACACUGAGUUGCCCGCGCCACCGUGGAGGGCAUAGGGGACAGGUCAAAAGUUCCAGUGAAGUCCUGGGAGGUGGUGUGAGAAGUUUACUCUGGGGACAGGGAGAUGAUCUGCUUAAAAAGCAAGUUAAUUUUUCUUAUUGCUGUUCCUUUGGCUCUUUUACAAUGGAAUGACAAAGGAAUGGGUGCACAGAGAAAUGCUGGUGGCCUGCAUUGAGAAUUUCUGAUGAGGUAGGCUGAGAAACUGACAAAUGAGCUGUCAGCUCCGCUGCAAUGACACUUCAGGGGCCAGGUUUUUUUAGCUUUUAUAUAUAUAAUAUAUAUUAUCACACUGCACACUAUAUAUGUAAUAAAUAUUAUACAAUAUGUUUAAAAAAUGAAAAUUAAAAUUUUCAUCUUUAUUGAGGUAUAAUUGACAAAACUGAAUAUAUUUAAAGUGUGCAGUGUGAUGAUGUGAUAUACGUAUACAUUGUGAAAUGAUUACCACAGUCAGUUAAGUAACACAUCCAUCAACUGACAUAGUUACCUUCCUUUUUUUCUUUUUCAGUGAGAACACUUAAGAUCUGCUCUCUUAGCAGAUUUCAUAUAUAUAAUAUAGUAUUAUUAACUACAGUCACCAUGCUGUACAUUAGAUCUUUUUCAUCUUAUGCAGUUUUAUUGGCAUAACAUUUACAGGUCGUAAAAGACAUCCAUUUGAAGUAUAUAUAUUGUUUAAUGAUUUAAGUCACUCACAACCUCUUAGUUGCCAAAUCCAAUGCAUGCUUUCCAAUGACUUGUCUCGAUCUUUCAGCCUCCCUGGCUGUGCUAUCAGUUCGCUCCUUUUUCUGGCUUCUGCUCUUUUUCCUUGGCCUAGUCCUUCGUUUUUGGGGUUUCCUGGAGUUCUAUUUACUGUCUACUUUCCUUCUCUCUAGGUGGCUCAGUUAUUACCUUUACACCAAGAUCUCGCAAAUCUAUUUGCAGACUACUUUGUCCUGGUAAAAGCUGAGAAGCAAUAAAUCCCCAUCUAUUCCUAAGCAAUAUAGCAUUGCGGAGAAGAACUCAGGCUCUGUAGCCAACCUGGAAGAUGUGUGACCUUAGUCUAAAUACGUAACAUUUCUUUUUUUUCUUUUUGGAGACAGGGUCUCCCUCUGUCACCCAGGUUAGAGUGCAGUGGCGAUCACAGCUCACUGUAGCCUCAAACUACUCUUGUACCCAAAUGAUCCUUCGGCCUCAGCCUCCUGAGGAGCUGGGACUAUAGGCAUGCUCCACCAUGCCUGGACUUAAUGAUGUAAUAUUUCUGUCCCUCAGUUUCUUCAAUUGUAAAAUGGGGAUAAUAAUAAUCCCUGUUUAUGAGGUUGUUGUGAGGAUUAAAAUAAGUGACUUGAUAAA